rfam:Penicillium vulpinum strain IBT 29486 PENVTL_contig051, whole genome shotgun sequence.
GUCUCCGUGGCGCAAUUGGUUAGCGCGUCCGACUGUUAAUCGGGAGGUUGGAAGUUCAAGCCUUCCCGGGGACG